AACGAACGCUGACGGCGUGCCUAACACAUGCAAGUCGAACGAGAAAGUCCCGGCUUGCCGGGAUGAGUAGAGUGGCGCACGGGUGAGUAACGCGUGGGUAAUCUGCCUUUAAGCUCGGGAUAACACUGCGAAAGCGGUGCUAAUACCGGAUAUGCUCACAGUUUGAGAUGUCUGUGGGGAAAGGUGGCCUCUGACAUAAGCUACCACUUAAAGAUGAGCCCGCGUACCAUUAGCUUGUUGGUGGGGUAAUGGCCUACCAAGGCUACGAUGGUUAGCUGGCCUGAGAGGGGCGGCCGAGCCGACACUGGAACUGAGACACGGUCCAGACUCCUACGGGAGGCAGCAGUGGGGAAUAUUGCGCAAUGGGGGAAACCCUGACGCAGCGACGCCGUGUGAGUGAUGAAGGCUUUCGGGUCGUAAAGCUCUGUCGGAUGGGACGAAUAAUGGCUGUGUGAAUAAUGCAGUCAGAUGACGGUACCGUCGAGG
rnacentral:rRNA from 1 species